AACGCACAUUGCGCCUCUUGGUAUUCCUAGAGGCAUGCCUGUUCGAGCGUCAUUAAAAGCCAUCAAGCGAGCUUGCCUCGCUUGGUCCUGGGGGAUGGGGCCACCCUUCGGGGAGGCGCCACCCUCGAAAUCCAACGGCGGACAACCACCAGUGGAACUGCAGCGUAGUAAUUCAUUCUUUCGCCAGCGGCCACGGAGGGACUGUCCCGCCGGUCAAACCCCCACAUCUUCAAUGGUUGACCUCGGAUCAGGUAGGGAUACCCGCUGAACUUAA
rnacentral:misc_RNA from 1 species